UACGAAGGGGGCUAGCGUUGCUCGGAAUCACUGGGCGUAAAGCGCACGUAGGCGGAUCUUUAAGUCAGGGGUGAAAUCCUGGAGCUCAACUCCAGAACUGCCUUUGAUACUGGGGAUCUCGAGUCCGGGAGAGGUGAGUGGAACUCCGAGUGUAGAGGUGAAAUUCGUAGAUAUUCGGAAGAACACCAGUGGCGAAGGCGGCUCACUGGCCCGGCACUGACGCUGAGGUGCGAAAGCGUGGGGAGCAACA
rnacentral:rRNA from 1 species